rnacentral:rRNA from 1 species
UACGUAGGCAGCGAGCGUUUGUUCGGAAUACUGGGCGUAAAGAGUGUGUAGGCGGUGCUCUAAGUUCGGUGUGAAAUCUCCUGGCUCAACUGGGAGGGUGCGCCGGAAACUGGAGUGCUUGAGCGUGGGAGAGGAAAGCGGAAUUCCUGGUGUAGCGGUGAAAUGCGUAGAUAUCAGGGAGGAACACCUGUGGGUGUAGACGGCUUU